CUGGCUUCGCGGCCGGCUGAAUAUUUUUUUCACCCAUGUCUUUUGCGCACUUGUUGUUUCCUGGGCGGGUUCGCCCGCCACCAGGACCAAACCAUAAACCUUUUUUUUUAUGCAGUUGCUAUCAGCGUCAGUAAAAACAAUGUAAUUAUUACAACUUUCAACAACGGAUCUCUUGGUUCUGGCAUCGAUGAAGAACGCAGCGAAAUGCGAUACGUAGUGUGAAUUGCAGAAUUCAGUGAAUCAUCGAAUCUUUGAACGCACAUUGCGCCCUUUGGUAUUCCAAAGGGCAUGCCUGUUCGAGCGUCAUUUGUACCUUCAAGCUUUGCUUGGUGUUGGGCGUUUUUGUCUCUUUCUGGGAGACUCGCCUUAAAACGAUUGGCAGCCGGCCUACUGGUUUCGGAGCGCAGCACAUAUUUUGCGCUUUGUAUCAGGAGAAAAGGACGGUAAUCCAUCAAGACUCUACAACGGCGAGUGAAGCGGCAACAGCUCAAAUUUGAAAUCUGGCUCUUUCAGAGUCCGAGUUGUAAUUUGCAGAGGGCGCUUUGGCUUUGGCAGCGGUCCAAGUUCCUUGGAACAGGACGUCACAGAGGGUGAGAAUCCCGUACGUGGUCGCUAGCUAUUGCCGUGUAAAGCCCCUUCGACGAGUCGAGUUGUUUGGGAAUGCAGCUCUAAAUGGGAGGUAAAUUUCUUCUAAAGCUAAAUAUUGGCCAGAGACCGAUAGCGCACAAGUAGAGUGAUCGAAAGAUGAAAAGCACUUUGGAAAGAGAGUCAAACAGCACGUGAAAUUGUUGAAAGGGAAGCGCUUGCAGCCAGACUUGCUUGCAGUUGCUCAUCCGGGCUUUUGCCCGGUGCACUCUUCUGUAGGCAGGCCAGCAUCAGUUUGGGCGGUGGGAUAAAGGUCUCUGUCACGUACCUCUCUUCGGGGAGGCCUUAUAGGGGAGACGACAUACCACCAGCCUAGACUGAGGUCCGCGCAUCUGCUAGGAUGCUGGCGUAAUGGCUGUAAGCGGCCCGUCUUGAAACACGGACCAAGGAGUCUAACAUCUAUGCGAGUGUUUGGGUGUCAAGCCCGAGCGCGUAAUGAAAGUGAACGGAGGUGGGAACCCGCAAGGGUGCACCAUCGACCGAUCCUGAAGUUUACGGAAGGAUUUGAGUAAGAGCAUG
rnacentral:sRNA from 1 species